CACAGUUCUUUGAACUCCUCAUCUUGGCCUCUCACUCUCAUGAGAUCUAGCCUGGUCUCUGUCAUUACCAAUUACCACAAACCCUCCAUAAUCUUGAUUUCAUGCACCCUUCCACUUUCCAGCUCACUCAAGAUCUCUUAUACUACACUACACCCAGAAUCUGUAAACCCCUGCAGGAGGACCUACAGUCUGAUGAUCUACUAAUUUUCUCUGUCCUUCAUCCCCAUGAUGUCUGUCUGCCUUCCUUGCCCAAUGUAAAUUCUAUAAUCAGUUAUUACAAUCACUCCUUUCCUUUUACCCCAACUUCCUCUGCCCUCAUCAAUUGUUCGUACUCACUUGGCAAGAUUACAACCCUAGUUAAGUCUAAUUCUCCACCUAGUCAGCACUGCCCAUGCCACUGAACAUGGCCAGAGAAAAACACUCCACAAUGCUACCUGAUCUAACUUUCAAUUCAUACUCCUCAGCAAUCUCUGUAUUUCCCCAGUCCAUUCACUUUUUCUCUUUCCCAUAUGCCAUUCUGUUUCCCUUUUUCUUCAAACUCCCUAUAUGUCCCCACUCAUCUUCACUCACAGCUGAAGAAUGACCUUGCUUCCUACUACAAUGGAAAAACUGAAACAGUCAGAGGCAAAUUUUGAUAGACUUCCAUCACCACAUUUACCCAUCUCUCAGCAAAUGCGCCCAGAUAUAAUGCCUUCCCACCUGCUGUUUUGGGCGAACUGUCCAUACUCGUAAGGCCAAUCCCUCCGCUUGCUAAAUAAAUCCAUCCCCUCUUGCUCAAGAACAUAGCUUUGUGAUUCUCCUUUCUCCUACAUCAAUUUUCCACUGUACAGGAUCAUUCUUCCUACCUGCAAUCAAACAAACCAUUAUUUCUCCCACCUUAAAAAUAUCUCCUCUCAGCUUCGCGUCUCCCUCCAGCCAUUACCCCAUAUCUUUGAAAUUCCUUGAAAGAACCCCUUCUACUUGAUAUCUCCAGCUCCACUCCUCCUGUUAUCUCCUGAACCCACUCCAUUCAGGCUUUCACCCCCAACACUCUACCAAAACUGCUCAAUGAUCACCAGCGAUAGUCAUGUUGCUAAAUCCAAUGACCAAUUCUCAGUCUUCAUCUUUCUUGACCUAAAGUACUACUUGGCACACUCGACUGCUCCUUCCUCCUGGAAAACACGUUGUUUAUUUGCCUCCCUGAUUACUUGAUUUCCUUCCUUCCUCAAUAUUUACUUCUCAAUAUUCUUUGUUGGGUCAUUCUCAACUCCCCAGACUUUCAGGGUGGGAGUGCUCACGGCUCAAUCCUUUUCUCAUCUAUAUUUUGCCUCUUAGUAAUUAUCUGAUCAUCUCUUAUGACAUCAAGUACUGUCUGUAUGUUAAUGACUCCCACCUUUAUACCUCCUCCUUCAGGGAUCCCCCUGCCCCAUUCAUACAUCCAUCUGUCUACUCAACAUCUCCACUUGGAAGUAUAACAGGCAUUUCGAACUCAGCGUGUCCAGAACUGACUCCUGCCCUUCCUACAGACUCCAUCUCAGUUAAUGGCAACUGCAUCUCCGAGUCUCCUUGACACCUCUCUUUUUCACACACCCCUACCAUCCAAUCCUAUUGGCUAUACCUUCAAUAUAGAGCCCAAAUCUCACCAUUACUGCCACCUUGACUUCAACACAUUACCAUGGAGCCUCCUAACCGGCCUUCCUGCUUCCAUCCAGUAGGAAAUUCAGGCUAUUUUCAACACAGAAGCUAAAGUGAUCCUAACAAUGUAAGUCAGAUUAUGUUGCUCCUCUGCUUGGAACCUUCCAAUGACUCCCUCUGAACUCUUUUUCUCAGAGUAAAAGCUCCCGUCUUUCCAAGUCCUAUGCAGAAAUCUUGUAUUGUCUGGAUCUGCUCCUGUUACCUCUCUGACGACACUCUCCCAUGCUCACUCUGCUCCAGCCACACUGGCCUCGCUCUUCCUUUAGCAUACCACAUGUGCUUUGCCUUGGUGGCUUCUUCUGCCUGUACUGCUCUUCCUCCAGAUAUUCAAAUGGCUUACUCUUUGACCUCCUUUGAGUGUUUGUUCAAAUGCCUCUAUCUCAAUUAGGCCACUUUGAUCACCCAUUUAAUUACAACCCACACCUCACAGGUAAUCCCCAGCCCUCUUACCCUGUUUUCUUCAUAGCACUCAUACUGUACUAUACUAUGUAAUUUACCUAUUUAUUAUGCUUCCUAUCAAGUUUCUUUCUCCUAGGAUGUAAGCUAAUGAAAGCAGAGAUUAUUGUCUCAUUUCCUGGUGUACCCCCAGCACCUAGAACACUGUUUGGCACAUGGUAGAGGCUCAAUAAACAUUUGUUGGGCGAAUACAUGAACGAACCCUUAUCCCUGAAGCUGACUAAAAUCAGUAUCUAGUAACUGGUUUAUUAGCAUCUUCUAAUGAGAAACCUUCAUAUAUGUUCCUUGCACAUUUUCAUUUUACAAGUCACUGUAAAAUAUCAUUAACUUACAUUCAUUUCAUAAUUUAAAAAAGACUGUUUUUCCUGGGUUGAAAAUUUUAGAUUCUCAAAUUCAUUAACAGAAGGUUUUCUGAGUAAAUUAACAGAAGGUGUGUUUACUUAAUGUUUAAGGACAUGUACAUUUCAUACAAGUUGCAUGGGUUACAAAUUAGGAUAUAACUAUUUAUUUUGAAAAAUAAUCACCAAGGGCUUACUAUGCAUCAAGGUAUUCUGGGGCAUAAAAAAGCAAGUGUUCUCACUGAGGGAUGAAUAGUCUACUAGCAACUGUAAGACAGUUGCACGAAUAAUGAUGAUACAAAGAGGUAUCCGAUGAAUAUAAUGUAGCAGGAUAAACAAAAUGGCAGUGGAAAACAGGAGUAAAACCAAAGGGAAGGAUUCUGAGAAGACUAUUUAUAAUGGGAACUAAAAUUGUCAGCUGAAGCUCAGAUGGCGGUAGAGGCAUUCCAGAUGGAGUAUAGAAAAUGAAUGAAGACCAAGGACAGGACAGAAAUAUCUGGGGUGCACUCACUAGGUGAGUGUGUCCAGACAUUGAAAGAGGAUGAGCAGAGGAAGAGAACAGGAGAGGUAAGAACUAAAAAGGUGGUAUUAGGUCCUGGAAGGUCUUAAAUAUCAAGCUAAAGAGUUUUACUGCCAAGCUACAGAACUUUAUCAAAUGCCAUACUGAGAAGACUGAUCGAUUUAUUAAAGCAAACUCCUAAAGGAUCUCUUCUUGGAAACAAUUCAUUAGUGGUUAGUGUGGAAUCUCAGUGUGGCACGGAAUAAAGUAAAGUACAUGGGUAACGGCCCCAGAAAAACCAGAGCACAGCCCAGCGCAUUACCACUCAUCGCCUGGGUGAUCUUGGGAAGGUUACCUAACCUCCGGUAGCUUUAAUUUCCUCACCUGUAAAAUAAGGCUAAUGAUGUGUAUUUUGUAAAGCCAGUAUGAGGAUAAUAAAGUGCCUGACACAUAAUAUAGGGUCCCCUGAAAUGUUAGUUCUCUUAUUUUAUCUUGUUGUAAAAAUUGCUUGUAAAUUGUAUGGUAUAUGAAUUAUAUCUCAGUAAAGCCAUUACAAAAAAAAAAAAAAAAAAAAGCCCAUGAUGUAUAUUUUUCACUAAUCCAAACUGUCUUUUCUCCUAAUUGGUGUUAAGUAGGGAAAUUACAUUGAAUACAGCAGGCGAGGUUCAUCUG
rnacentral:lncRNA from 1 species